ACACAACAGCGGGAACAGCAGCCGGCAUUGUGCGCUGCAAGGCACGGAUGGUGUACUCAGCAAUCACCUCAGGUGCAACCUUGGCGGCUUCAGAACCAGGAGUGACCAUGUUAGGCUUCAACAAGGUACCCUCGAGGAGUACAUGGUGGUCAUUGAGAGCCUUGUAGCAAGCAGCAAGAACACGCUCGGUAACAUCAGCGCACUUGUUAAUGUCAUGGGAUCCAUCAACAAGGAUCUCGGGCUCAACAAUGGGUACAAGACCAUUUUGUUGGCAGAUAAUGGCAUAUCUUGCAAGGCCAUUGGCGUUCUCAUUGAUCGCGAGCUGAGAAGGCUCAUUGGCACCGAUCUUGAGUACGGCACGCCAUUUGGCGAACCUAGCACCAGCCUCGUAGUACUUUUGGCAUCGCUCUGCAAGGCCGUCAAGACCUUGGGUGGUGGUCUCACCGUUGGUUCCUGGGAGCUCAACGGUACCCUUGUCAACUUUAAUACCGGGGAGAACUCCACCCUCCUUCAAGACAUCGACGAAAGGCUUGCCUGCAAAUAUCAGAACAUUAGCAUACCGCAAUCUAAGACUGUUUAAUGGACUUAAUAAUCAGGCAAAAUGGAGAUCAAUGCUAACAACAAAUUAAAUACUAGUACAAAGCAUACCAGAAGCGGUCUUCUGGUAAAGUGUUUCCUCGAACAAGAUAACACCGCUGAGGUACUGAACAGCUCCGGGGGUGGUGAAGAGCAACUCACGGAGAGCCCUCCUGUUUGAUUCGACAUUCUCAACGUUGAUGCUCGAGAAACGCUUGCCAAUUGUGCCAGUGGAUUCAUCAGCAGCAAGGAUACCCUUUCCAGGGGUUC
rnacentral:lncRNA from 1 species